GCACCUAUAGCUCAGCAGGAUAGAGCGACGGUUUCCUAAACCGCAGGCCGGGGGUUCGAAUCCCUCUAGGUGCACCA
rnacentral:tRNA from 1 species